AUGAACGCUAGCGGCAGGCUUAACACAUGCAAGUCGAGGGGCAACAGAGAUAGCAAUAUUUGCUGGCGACCGGCGCACGGGUGAGUAACGCGUAUGCAACCUACCUCUAACCGGGGGAUAGCCCAUGGAAACGUGGAUUAAUACCCCAUAAUACUAACGAACGGCAUCGUUUGUUAAUUAAAACUCCGGUGGUAAGAGAUGGGCAUGCGUGCCAUUAGCUAGUUGGUGAGGUAACGGCUCACCAAGGCAAUGAUGGCUAGGGGGUCUUAAAGGAUAAUCCCCCACACUGGUACUGAGACACGGACCAGACUCCUACGGGAGGCAGCAGUGAGGAAUAUUGGUCAAUGGGCGCGAGCCUGAACCAGCCAUGCCGCGUGCAGGAUGAAGGCCCUAUGGGUCGUAAACUGCUUUUGUGUGAGAAGAAACCUAUCUACGUGUAGAUAGCUGACAGUACCAUACGAAUAAGCAUCGGCUAACUCCGU
rnacentral:rRNA from 1 species